UUAAGUUCAGCGGGUAGUCCUACUCGAUUUGAGGUCAAGUUGUCAAUCGUUGUCCGAAGACGGUUUGAAGCACAGAGCUCCUGAUCAGCCACCCUCUAAGUGAGGCGCCGGCGAAGACACUUAUCACGCCGUACUAUGUCCAACCAAGAGUUGCACUACUCCAUUUAAGGUGAGCCGCGGUAAAGCAGCAACACCCAAGU
rnacentral:misc_RNA from 1 species